AAACCGGCCCUUUUUAGGGCCACAAAAUUUUAAGAUUACUUUUCUUU
rfam:Oikopleura dioica, whole genome shotgun assembly, reference scaffold set, scaffold scaffold_1